rnacentral:lncRNA from 1 species
AUGGCCCCUGCCCAUCCUGCAGAUAUAGGAGCUCCUUGGGGUUGGGGCUGGGGCCUCAAGGGCUGGUACGCGGAAGGGGGUCUCACCCAGCGGCGGGCGGCUCCCGCUCUCCCCGUCCUCCAUCGCCUUUCGCCCCCCCGCCGGCAGGCGGCGCCCCUCCGUCCGGCUUCCCGCCGGGGUCGCGACGGGGCGUGCGCGCUCAAAGGCUGCCCGGCUCGGACGCCCGCACUUCCUGGUGGGAGCGGGCCUAACGGCGGGGUCCCCCUCGGGUCCCAGGGCCCGCGCUUGCUGCCCCCGCCCCUCCUCCUGGGAGCGCUCGGGGCGGAGCCGGCCGGGCGCGCUGGGCUCCCGCCCCUCUACCGGCGGUCACCUGGGGCCGGGCGCAGCAGGUGUCUGGUCUGGCGUCCCGAGCCGGCGACGCGGAGCGCGAGCCCGGAGCCUCGACGCGCCGGGUGGCCCCGGGAGGUGUCGGCAGGGCCCAACCCCGGAAUUCCAGAGGCGACCGCAAGGACCCAGCCGGCGGAGAAACGUCCAGCUGGGAGGAAACGUGCUCGCUUCGCCCCACCUUGUGCAAAUGACUCGGGAUUCCCCCCCGCCAUGGCUUUAGAAGGCAGGCUACAGGGGAGAGAGGGUUCCCAGCCCUGA